CAGGACGAACGCUGGCGGCGUGCUUAACACAUGCAAGUCGAACGGAGAUACAUUGGAGGAGAGCUUCGGCAGGAAUCCGGCGUAUCUUAGUGGCGGACGGGUGAGUAACGCGUGAGCAACCUGUCCCAGACAGGGGGAUAACACUUGGAAACAGGUGCUAAUACCGCAUAAGACCACGGUGUCACAUGGCGCUGAGGUAAAAGGAGAAAUCCGGUUUGGGGUGGGCUCGCGUCCGAUUAGAUAGUUGGUGAGGUAACGGCCCACCAAGUCGACGAUCGGUAGCCGACCUGAGAGGGUGAUCGGCCACAUUGGAACUGAGAGACGGUCCAAACUCCUACGGGAGGCAGCAGUGGGGAAUAUUGGGCAAUGGGCGAAAGCCUGACCCAGCAACGCCGCGUGAGUGAAGAAGGCUUUCGGGUUGUAAAGCUCUGUUAUAGGGGACGAAGGAAGUGACGGUACCCUAUAAGGAAGCCCCGGCUAACUACGUGCCAGCAGCUGC
rnacentral:rRNA from 1 species